rnacentral:rRNA from 1 species
AGAAUCAACGCUGGCGGCGUGCCUAACACAUGCAAGUCGAACGAGAAAGUGGAGCAAUCCAUGAGUAAAGUGGCGACCGGGUGAGUAACACGUGACUAACCUACCUUCGAGUGGGGGAUAACCUCGGGAAAACCGAGGCUAAUACCGCAUAACAUCGUGAGAUCAAAGCAGUAAUGCGCUGGAAGAGGGGGUCGCGGCUGAUUAGCUAGUUGGCGGGGUAAUGGCCCACCAAGGCGAAGAUCGGUA